GGCAGGUUGAAGGUUGGGUAACACUAACUGGAGGACCGAACCGACUAAUGUUGAAAAAUUAGCGGAUGACCUGUGGCUGGGGGUGAAAGGCCAAUCAAACCGGGAGAUAGCUGGUUCUCCCCGAAAGCUAUUUAGGUAGCGCCUCGUGAAUUCAUCUCCGGGGGUAGAGCACUGUUUCGGCUAGGGGGCCAUCCCGGCUUACCAACCCGAUGCAAACUGCGAAUACCGGAGAAUGUUAUCACGGGAGACACACGGCGGGUGCUAACGUCCGUCGUGAAGAGGGAAACAACCCAGACCGCCAGCUAAGGUCCCAAAGUCAUGGUUAAGUGGGAAACGAUGUGGGAAGGCCCAGACAGCCAGGAUGUUGGCUUAGAAGCAGCCAUCAUUUAAAGAAAGCGUAAUAGCUCACUGGUCGAGUCGGCCUGCGCGGAAGAUGUAACGGGGCUAAACCAUGCACCGAAGCUGC
rnacentral:rRNA from 1 species